rnacentral:rRNA from 1 species
AUUGAACGCUGGCGGCAUGCUUUACACAUGCAAGUCGAACGGUAACAGGGUGCUUGCACCGCUGACGAGUGGCGAACGGGUGAGUAAUGCGUCGGAACGUGCCGAGUAGUGGGGGAUAACGCAGCGAAAGUUGUGCUAAUACCGCAUACGUACUGAGGUAGAAAGUGGGGGACCUUCGGGCCUCACGCUAUUCGAGCGGCCGACGUCUGAUUAGCUAGUAGGUGAGGUAAAGGCUCACCUAGGCGACGAUCAGUAGCGGGACUGAGAGGAUGAUCCCACACACUGGGACUGAGACACGGCCCAGACUCCUAGGGGAGGCAGCAGUGGGGAAUUUUGGACAAUGGGCGAAAGCCUGAGCCAGCCAUGCCGCGUGUCUGAAGAAGGCCUUCGGGUUGUAAAGGACUUUUGCCGGGGAGGAAAUCCCCAGCGUUAAUACCGCUGGGGGAUGACAGUACCUGAAGAAUAAGCACCGGCUAACUACGUGCCAGCCGCCGCCGUAACAC